rnacentral:rRNA from 1 species
GACGAACGCUGGCGGCGUGCCUAAUACAUGCAAGUCGAGCGGAUCUUGAAAAGCUUGCUUUUCUCGAUCAGCGGCGGACGGGUGAGUAACACGUGGGCAACCUGCCUGUAAGAUCGGGAUAACACCGGGAAACCGGUGCUAAUACCGGAUAAUCCUUUUCCUCACAUGGGGGGAAGCUGAAAGACGGUUUCGGCUGUCACUUACAGCUGGGCCCGCGGCGCAUUAGGUAGUUGGUGGGGUAAUGGCCCACCAAGGCGACGAUGCGUAGCCGACCUGAGAGGGUGAUCGGCCACACUGGGACUGAGACACGGCCCAGACUCCUACGGGAGGCAGCAGUAGGGAAUCUUCCGCAAUGGACGAAAGUCUGACGGAGCAACGCCGCGUGAGCGAAGAAGGCCUUCGGGUCGUAAGGCUCUGUUGUCAGGGAAGAACAAGUACCGGAGUAACUGCCGGUACCUUGACGGUACCUGACCAGAAAGCCACGGCUAACUACGUGCCAGCCGCCGCCGUAAUAC